AGUGAACGCUGGCGGUAGGCCUAACACAUGCAAGUCGAACGGCAGCACAGUAAGAGCUUGCUCUUACGGGUGGCGAGUGGCGGACGGGUGAGGAAUACAUCGGAAUCUACUUUUUCGUGGGGGAUAACGUAGGGAAACUUACGCUAAUACCGCAUCCGACCUACGGGUGAAAGCAGGGGAUCUUCGGACCUUGCGCGAUUGAAUGCGCCGAUGUCGGAUUAGCUAGUUGGCGGGGUAAAGGCCCACCCAGGCGACGAUCCGUAGCUGGUCUGAGAGGAUGAUCAGCCACACUGGAACUGAGACAGGGUCCAGACUCCUACGGGAGGGAGCAGUGGGGAAUAUGGGACAAUGGGCGCAAGCCUGAUCCAGCCAGACCGCGUGGGUGAAGAAGGCCUUCGGGUUGGAAAGCCCGUUUGUUGGGAAAGAAAAGCAGCAGGUUAAGACCCCGCUGUUCUGACGGUACCCAAAGAAUAAGCACCGGCUAACUUCGUG
rnacentral:rRNA from 1 species